AUCACUAAUGAUAUAAAGAAAGAAAAAAAAAAGCAAAAUGGCACUUCACAUACCGCUUAUAAAGAAACUCAUUCAAUAAAGAUCAUAGGAUCCAUUAUGUACCAACAACGAUUAAAAUUUCAUCAAAAAUUGUUCAAAGUAGCGUGGGGGGCAUUUAUUGCUAACAAAAUGUUAUCUAUUACGAGAAAGACAUUGAAUGUGAUUAUCUCUGAUGAUAGCGACAUCCCAUCAAAUCUAGCGGUCAAGUUAGAGCACAUUUGGCAAACUCUUGACCUGCAAAGUAGAGACAAGAGCUUAAGAGCAACUAUUAUGAACUAUCCGCAAUUGUACCUUUUCUUUCUUGGAAUAAAUGAUCCCAUCCACUAG